AGGUUUAAUUCUUUCACUGGUUUUGACAGAGAACGCCGAGAGAGAGAGAGAACUAGAGAGAAGAAGGAUUUUGGUGUGAAUCAAGGAGAAAGAAGCUUGACUUGAAGAUUUUGGACUUUCUAAAGCUUGGUUUUCAAGAUUUCUUCAAGAUUGAGGUAAGAUUUCCAUGGAUUUCAAGCUAGGGUUUAUGGGUUUUGUGGGAUUUCGUGAAAUUAGAAGUUUUGGGGUAAAGGAUUGUUGAGUAAUCAAAGUUUAUGUAUAUUAAUGCUAGAUUUGAGCUUGGAUUGAAGUGUGGAGAUAGGAGGAGAGGUGGUUGUCCUAUGGUUUGAAGAUUUGGGCAAGGUUAUUGAACUUGGAAGAUUGGUGACUAGAGUUGUGGUGAGAUUUUACUCAAACGAGGUGAUAUAGGUACUAGCGCUAGUGCUCCGACUACGGAUCAGCAGGGAGGAGCGUGACGCGGACGGCCUAGACUUGUGGUGAUUGUUGUUUAUUUUGUGUGGUCUUUGAUUAGUCUUAGGCUUAAUGGUAUAUUGGGAUAUAUACGAAAUGUGUGGGAUGAAUGAUGAUUUUGGAUGGUUAGGCUUGAUACCUGGGUAUGUAUGUGUGUAUGAUGAGUUAUGUUUGAGAUGAUAUGGCCGGAGGCCCUGGAUAUUUAGUUUGGUGUUAUGGGAAUUGUGUGUUUUAAAUUGUUGUGUUUUAUGCAGGAGGCAUUCUCCGAUAUACGGGGAGGUGCUGCCGAAUUUUU